ensembl:lncRNA
GAAAUAAUGUAAAGGACGCCGUGAAAAACACUCCAGAAAGGUUUUCUUUGAAAAAAACAUCAUCAUGAAUUUUGGCACAAACAAACGUCAUAGUAAACUACAUACAAACAUUUUGGACGACAUACGAAACUAUGACAUUUUUGUCAUAUUUUGGACGACAUACUAAACUAUGAGGUUUUUGUCAUAUUUUGGACGACAUACUAAACUAUGACGUUAGAUGAUUGACCAUGAACAUCCAAUCAGUUUUAUCUAAAUUUGAAUCCAUUCUGUGAUGAUAUUCAAGAGAUUUUCAGUUCGUGAGAAUGAGACACACAAGGGAAAAACUAAAUGCUGUUUUGGAGGCACAGAACUCUUGUGUGAUUGGACUAUUGACAGGAAGUGAAACCCAGCAGAUGUAACUGCAACAUUUUAUUGGUUCAACACACACACACUAAAACUCUGUGACAGCUUCAAACUGUAAGUGACACAAUGCACAAAAUGGCACCAAUGACGAACAAGUCGACCGGACGAACACGAAGCAAAGAGAAAGAACUGUAGAAGUGUUCAGUGCUGAUCUGCCAACAUUCUCCGGAGGUUCCAGGAACGUUCCCAACAGUCGUACCCAAGUGCGUUUCUCAGACAAGUCCUCCGAGUCCUCGAGACGACGCCAACAUCGAGGCGUCGCCGAGUUCGGCUUCUGGCUCAGUAAACGAUGAUUCACAUUUACAACAACUUUAAAAAACAAAACCUCUAAAGCAACAUUUCCACAAGAAGUACUCAGUAAUGACGAGUAGAAACGGAGUAUUAAGCAGUAGUAUUAUGUACAGUACGUCUGAUAUCUAACAGCGAACGUUUCAGAUCGAGAGGCGACAAAACCGAAGUCCGAACCAGCGACCGUCUGACACAGAAAAGUUAAAGGCCACAGAGUCCAGCAGCCUUUUACACACAUUCAACGGUUUACUUUCAGUUUGUACAGAGGGAAACAGGAAGUCACCAAAACACACUCAACAGGCUACUUCAGAAUAAAAGCUUCAGGUGCUGUUUGCAGUUUAGCAUCAUGUAGAGAAAACAGUACGAAGAAACGUUAGUAUUUUUAAUAGUUCGAUAUGUUUUACUUGAAGUUUGAUGAAAGAAUGUAAACAGUUCAUUAGUUUAUCUCAGGAUUUCUUUUUAUUCAACUCUGCUAAACCCGUUAUUGAAGAUAUUAUGAAUAAAUGUAGGUUUCUGUAUCAAAAUAAACAGAAAUUAUAGGAUAAUUAGCAAAAUUGGAUAUUUAUGUUGACAAAAAAACUUGUUUGCAAAUAAAAAUGUGUAAAAACCAGGAUUAACUCCUCCAAUUGUAAACUAUAAAGUAAAUGUAUUCUUAAAAAAUUGACAACUGAAUAUUUCAUAUUUUUAAGGAUUUUUUUUCCUUUUUUCUCAAAUUGUUCUAAACGUUUAGUCUUUUAAUGAAAUCUGCAGUUUGAGUUGUUUCACCAGAUAUUAGAAUCACUAAAAUACCUUAAAUCGUUUAGAAAUUAGUUCAAAACUCACAUUUGUACCACAUUUUAAUGAUAACGAUGUAACAUUUGAAUCUACUUGUGCUGAUAUUCUAACAUGAAUGUAAUUAAUGCUCCCUAAAAUUAUGUUAUUAAAAAGUAAUUCCGAUGUUUAUUUACAUGUUUUUUCUUUUUUUUGGUUAAAUGUUAUUUUUGCUGCUUCUGUCAGAUAAAAUGACGCACCGAUGAUUUUAUAUAUUUAAUUAAAUUUAAAUUCAAAUUAGCAACGUUUGAUUAUCUUUGAAAUUAAUUAAAUUAGAAAUAAUAAAAGUGUUAAACUGGUUAAAACUGGCAGUGAAGUUCAGAGAGAGUUGGAGCUUUUAUUGUGAAGGCGUUUGGCCGCAGCUCUUAUUUUGGCGACACCCUGACUUCCUGAACCGAGUGUGAAACUUUGAGAUUCUUUGUUUGAUCAGAAGUGUGGAGUUUUUUUGUGUCCUUCAGUAGAAAGAAGCGAAUGAAAGUUGAUCCGAUCCGAAGCGACGACCGGCGUCCAGCAGGGGGCGCCGAGAACCAGAACACGAGUUUUUAUUCCAACACGGAAAAGAUCCACGAACUCUGGGAGAUUUAAUUCACAUAUUUAGAAUCAGAAAUAUUGUUUUUAGAGUUUUCAGAUCUGAGAUGUAGUUUAAACUAAUUUAUAUUUAGAAAGAAAUGUUAUAAAUGUUGAGUUUCCAGAUGAAAAUCAAACAAAUUUACUGGAAGAAAAGUAGAUUUGUAGUAAAAAUGUGACGUUUUUGUUGCUGUUUAUAAUUAGAAAUCCAAAGUAGUUUAGUUUAAACUUUGAUUUAUUUAAAAACUUAUGUUGAACUUGUUCCACCAAACCUCAGUUUAUAUCAUUAAUAUACAAAAAGUUUAGAAAUUAAACCUAAAAUUUGCUAGUUUUGUAGACAAACUAUACAAGUUAAAAUUCUAAAUGUUGCGAUUUUAAGUCUUAAUAGAAGAAUUUUACAUAAUUAAUGAUCAUUUUUAGGUAAAUUACAAAUUCCAGUGGUUAUAUUUAAACAACGAUUUGAGUUGAAUGAGAAUUUUAGCCGUUUAAAGUUCAUCUUUUUAGCUGAAAUUUCAAAAAUGUCAAAGUUUUCUUCUUCCUAAAUGUGAGUUGAUAAGUUUAACCCUUGUGUCGUCCUGUGGGUCAAAUUGACCCGUUUUAAAGUUUGAAAAUGUGGGAAAAAAAAAAUUAUUUUCACAGUGAAACUUCUGAUGUCCACAUUUUCAACAUUUUUGGGAAAUUUUUGAACAUUUUUUGGUGGAAAAAAAAUAAAUGUUAAAAAUGUUUCUUAAGAAGAUUCACAAAAAAUCAAAAUCCAGCGAAAUUCGCUGGAUUUUGGUUUAUUUUUAUGUGAAUCUUCUUAAAGAAAAUAUUAGAAGUUUUACUGAUAUGUAUGGAAUCACUAGAUAUUUUUAGGAUUUUUUUUGAAGAUUUUUACUAAUUUUUUGAAAAUGUUUACUAGAAUUUUUUUUGCCAAAUUUGGGGGAUUUUAUUUUUUUUUUACAAAGCUUUUAAUGGAAACUUUGAACGAAUUAUUGGAAUUUUCUUCCUGAAGGUUUUGAAAAUUUUCAGAAGUUUGUGGAAUUUUUUUUGGCUGAAUUUUUGGAUUUUUUUCAGGCAAGGAAACAAUAUUUUUUGGUGCCUGUAAAUGAAGACAACAGGAGGGUUAAACUCAAUGUUUUGACUUGAAUCAUCUGUUUCCAUGUGAAUCUUUGGGCUUCAUUGAAUCUUUUAGGAUGAUUGAAACAUUGUUUGUGUGAAAAACUCAAAGUUUACCGUCAGUGUUUCAUUAGUUUGUAGGAUUUGAACCGUUUGUUGAGAAUAAAUGUUGGUUUUAAAGGUUUUACUGCAGAUCAGAACUAAAAAUACUGAUCAAAGUAUCGACAUGUUGAGGUCUGAAACUAGAACUCUGACCUCAGUUUUAAUAUUUGGGUUCUAAAACAGUGAAGUUCAUUUAAAGGAAUUUAGUUUUUGAACUAAGGUUUGGGUUCAGACGUAAAGUUUUCUGUUGUUUUCAGGAACUUUGUGUUGAAACAAAAACUCUGAAAGGUUUCAUUUAAACUUUGAGGUUCUGGUUCUGUGAUUGGUUCGGGUCGGUUCACAGCAGAUAUGUUUGUUUCUUCCACCUUCAGCCACCUGAAGGAAACUGGAACUCAGAGCUGAAGCAGUUUUUGUGGUUCUGGUUUCUGAUCUGAAACUCCAGACUUGGGUCCGGUUCUGCUGCUGGACCCGGUUCGUCAUCCUCAGUGCAAAUCAACCUACAGCUUCUAAACGUCUAAAACUCCUCAACAUGCAAACAGCAGCUUCGGCCCGUUUCUGUCUUUGUGCCUUCAGAUGUUUCAGAACCGGUUUGGACCCGAACUCUGGCAGCAGCUCAGACCUUCACCCCCUCAGAACCCGCUCUCUGGUCCGGGUCCUGCUGGUUCUAGUCUUUGAAGCUCUGCUGCAGCUGUC